rnacentral:rRNA from 1 species
UUUAUGGAGAGUUUGAUCCUGGCUCAGGAUGAACGCUGGCGGCGUGCCUAAUACAUGCAAGUCGAGCGAACAGAUGAGGAGCUUGCUCCUUUGACGUUAGCGGCGGACGGGUGAGUAACACGUGGGUAACCUACCUAUAAGACUGGAAUAACUCCGGGAAACCGGGGCUAAUGCCGGAUAACAUGUUGAACCGCAUGGUUCAACAGUGAAAGACGGUCUUGCUGUCACUUAUAGAUGGACCCGCGCCGUAUUAGCUAGUUGGUAAGGUAACGGCUUACCAAGGCAACGAUACGUAGCCGACCUGAGAGGGUGAUCGGCCACACUGGAACUGAGACACGGUCCAGACUCCUACGG